UGGAAGAGGGAGGGUUUAAAGCUUUGACAUCUGAUGUGAUCUUGUUAAGCGUCUGUUAGAGAGUCUGUUCGACAGAGGAUAAGGAACAAACACAAUGAUACUCCAUUUUGUCAUUCUGCUUUCUGCAUUUGCAUAUGCAACGUAUGGGAAUGAAAUUAAACCAGCCAAAACAGAGGAGUUUGCUGUCGAGGGUUCAAGUGUUACAUUAUCCUGCAGUUAUUCCUCUGCAUAUACUCUUCACUGGUACCAUCAGUAUCCCGGAUCAGCUCCUGAAUUUCUAGUGCUCAUCUCAGAAGGUGCAAAAGACCCUGAGAAGUCUUAUGUAGAUUCCAGAUUCACUUCUGAGAUCAGAAAAGAAAAACAAAGCCAUGUGAAUCUGGAGAUCUCCUCUGCUACUCUGAAAGACUCGGCUGUGUAUUACUGUGCUCUGCAGCCCACAGUGACUAAAACACACUCAACACUCAUACAAAAACAGUGUUCAAGUCCAAAUUAUAUCACAAAGUGCAAAUCCUACAGUGGUCAAGAGAGCUUAACGCGCUGCAACUAAAGAAAACACAUGCAAAUUGAAAAACACCCGCAAAUUAAAUAAGUUUCACAACACAAAAUACUACAAAAUGCUCCAAAUACUCACAGCACAACCAAAAACCUGCUGCAAAAGUUCACAACACAACCCAACCAAUAACAGACACGCACUUCAAAUAGCAUAGACCACAAUAGAAAUGUUUCCUGAGGGAACCAAGUGAUGAACCGGCUAGGACAUGCAUAUUGCUUGUGAGCAUUCAGACAGCAUUGUGUGUGUAGCCGUUUGGAUCGCACUUGGUGAAGGGAGCAACGAAAGACAGCGUAAUUUCCUCAUUAUUUUCACCUGGAAUGUUCCCUUGA